rnacentral:misc_RNA from 1 species
CAAUGAGUUGUCCCAAGCAGUUUCAGAGUGAUCUGUUGUUUUAUCGAGGAGUGAUUUGAAAUAUGCGAUUGCGUUCACACGGACGCCACACAACUAUGGAAAAAUAAGCGGUGGUGGGGGCUCACGGACCGUUGAGUGUAGAUAGGAAUAGAGGUGCGGAAGACGUGGUGGGGGUAUGCUUAUGUACUUUUCCUUAUAUACAAGAGCUUUGC